rnacentral:tRNA from 1 species
UGGCUCAGUCGGUUGAGCGUCUGACUUCAGCUCAGGUCAUGAUCUCACAGUUCGUGAGUUCGAGCCUCAC